rnacentral:lncRNA from 1 species
CUGUGUUUCUGGUCCGUGUGAUCUUGAGUGUGUAGAAGCUGAUUUCUAAUACGUUAUCAACACGAGUCCUACUGAGAUAAGGUACAAUAGGACAAUAAGUAAGAAAUCAGUUCUCCGAUAGAUUGUUCAUACACUCCAUAGUUGUCCCAUGAAUGAGCACACGCUCUUACCUGCUGACCUUGGCACAUUGAGAAUGCCCAGUCGCUAGAAACAAGCAUGUGUACCUCACCGCAUCCUGAAGAUGGCAAACCAAACCGUUGUCCUGG